CUUUUCUCUAAUGGCAUCCUCUUGUCUCGUCCGGAAAGGAUUUGUCGAAAAUGUCGCAUUUGUUAUUCUCUCACUGUGAUCCCAAUUGAUUUCUUCUUCAUCUUCUUUUAUGAACCUGGCUUUCGCAUCUUCUUAGCUCUGGGCCAUUCCUCCGGUGAUUUUGGGUUGCAAUGGUUGGGAAAAUAUUUUUGUUAGAACUUUGUACUAACCGAAUGCUUCAGGAUGGUAUAUGAUUUCUGAAACAAGGUCAUAUGGAUUUGAAAACACCAGCUGGAUUCCGUUCAGAUCUCUGUUCAACUGGAAGACUUUCUCUUCCAUCUUGAUGUUGAAAUCUCUAGCCACAAUGUUGUAUUCUUCAAUACAUUUGCUUCCAUAAAAGAGCUGAGUUGUUCUUUCCAGGGGUAAGCAUCCAAAAGGAGAGAGUCCCGACAAAGACAUCUUCCGAGCUCCGAGUCUGUAUAUAUCUGUCACGAAAUCUGCUGCUAUUCCUAUCAGGAAAUAUUGGUACUCGUUCACUGAGUACUUCCGUAACUUGCGGGGAAGAAGAUAGUAAUUCUCCAGGAAAUCGUUGGUUCCGAUACUAAUCAGUAUUCCACUUCCUUCCAUAGCGGCAUUACAGACUUUAGAAAUCGAUGACAAUUCAGAGAAAGCAUGUCAGAAAUCUAAGUCCAGUACAGUAGAAUAUAUAUAUGUUGUAAGAUAUAUAACUAUGCUUGACUUACUAACACGGCAGAGGUUGCAUUGUCUAAGCCGGUUCCAGCUGAAGCGAAACAGACACCAGUGGCAAAGUCUGCAAUGUUGUAUGCUGGAUCUAGGUAGGCAGGGACUGCGUUCUUGAGUCCCAAACCUUCAGAAAUGAAGUCUGGUGCAAUCCGGCCAUUUGAAAAUCUCCCAGUCGCUUUGCCGUCAAAGUAAUCCCGGCCAUAUGGCUGGAAAUUGCUCUUCAGAACAGUAGAAAUCUGGUUGUUGUUGCCUGAAUCAACAGUUGAGUCACCAAAUACGAUAAGUGCGGGAAAUUUUGCACACGUUUCAGGUAUCUUCACCAAGAGCUGAGCUGCUAGCAACAAGAACGCAAGAACUCUGUUUCGCUGCAUGCUUUUUACACAAGUUUUUUCAAUUUUUUGCUUCUGCAAAACAAGAACCUCACGAUUAAUUGGGAAGAACAAUUGGAGCAAGCAUUUAAGAUGGAGAAAGAUAGGUAUCUUCUAUCAAACCUGACUAAAACAGAUUUAGCUCGUGUAGUUAAUACCUUGGCCUGUUGUUAGAUGAUGCUUAUUAAAUACUCCUUAGUCUGAUAUGUCUCUGUUUAUUUUUGGCCACAGAGAGUUAGUUGAGGUGAGUAAUGAGCUGAAAAUGAUUGAGAGUUUCAAUAAUAGUUGUGCAGCAGAGAGCCGUAUUUAUAGCUACUAAAAAAGAGAGAAAGACAGAAUAUUUUAAAAUAGAAGGAUUCGUACCAUUGCAAGCUUCAGAUGUAUAUGUAACGCAUCUUCCUUUUUACCGGAUUCACGCUCAAAACUCAACUCUCUGUUCUUGUAUCACUUACUGUUUUUAUUGCUUACUGAGUCUAGAGUCUUGAAUGUAAAGAUUAUUUGCACUUUGGGUGAACUGUGUCGCACGUUUUGGGGCUUUUUAGUUCAACCAUAGUUUUGGUUGUUGCAACGACAAUAACAAGUAACGGCAAGAAAGUGUCUCUCAUGCGUCA
rnacentral:lncRNA from 1 species